UGGCAAGGUUUUUGCCCACUGGACAGAGCAGUCCAAAGCUCUACUGAGAGGUGACCUGUCUCCUGUCUUCAGGCUCCCAAGACUCCGGAAACGGACGUUUUCGGAAGUCGUCCAGGAACAUAACAAGGGCUUAGAACCAGAAGGGGGAGGUUCCUUUACAUUACUUGAUGACCACUACAGCAAAGAUGGCAAAACGUGCAAGAGAAGCCCGC